rnacentral:lncRNA from 1 species
CUCACCUCAGCCUCUCAAAGUGCUGGUUUACAGGCAUGAGCCACCGCACCCGGCCAGAAGCUGGGAUUUUGAUAGGAAUUGUGUUGAAUCUGUAGAUCGAUUCUGGGAGUAUUGCCAUCUUAACAAUAUUGCCCUCCAUGAACACAGGGUAUCAUUCCAUUUAUUUAGGUUUUUGCUAAUUUCUUUCGACCUUUUUGGUUAUUUUUCAGUACCUUUGCAUUACUGUUGCAUUGCCGUGGCUCAGCUGCUACGGAGCUGAAAAGUUAAGAUGUGAGAAGGGGUGAAAGGCGUUGUCAUCAUUUCUCACCAAGGGCAAGACCAGGACUUCCCUGGGAGUGACCCAUACUGAUGCUGGGCAGUUACCAAAGAGCCUUCAUCAAAGUGCGGGGCACAGCUGCUGGUCAGCGUGCAUCUAGCUCUGUCCCUCUCUGGGCCACUCACUGACUCUCAGCUCUUGAAUGCUGAGAUGAGGAAUCUCUCAGGCUCAUUAUUCCAGGAAAGCAUCUUCUUGGGCCAGGCUUGGAGCAGCAGCCCCAGUGACCCUGAAGUCUGGCCCCUAGCUCCUGUCUGUCCUUGGAAUUUUUCUUGCCAAGAGGGACAAGGUGCCUUCUCCAGGAAUGUCAUUGGCAGAAAGGGCUAGAACCAUGCAAAUUAUAUUUUCAAGCCUUUCCCUAAUCACAUCAAAGUCUUUUACAAGGAGUCUUCUGGCCUAAUUGGAGUUUGAUAAUUACAAAUUAUUUCUAGCAGAAAUGCUGACUGUGGGAAAGUAGGUUGGAGCAAAUUUGAUUCAUAUUAAAGUCAUGGUCAGAUCAUCAUGAACCUUCAGGAUACUUAGUUUUCCACCAGUUUCUCCCUGGUUCCCCCACCUCUCUCUUUGGCCUGGCUGAGCUGGAGACUCGCUUAAUACAAAUUACUGCAUUAAAAUAAAAUCAUGAGAAAGCUCAGGGGAACAUGGCUGAGUAAUGGAGAAGAUAAUAAGCUUGGACAACCACCUCAGCCUUCUCGUCUUACUCCCUCAAGGCAGGAGAAGGUUCACAACUGAUUUGGAAUCAUUUCUAACAGUAAACAGGAGGGAAACUAGAGCUUAAGUGGUUUAAAUAAAAAAUAGUAAUAAUGUAGCAGAUUGCUAUCACUCCACUGAUGUCACUCAGUCCCUACAUCUCUGAAGUAAUUUCUACUUUCUACAUUAUGAUGGGAAGAGCUGUGGGUGUUUUUCAGAACAAAGAGACAAAGCUGUGAGAAAGGAACUAACACAGAAAUGGUUUUUGUUCACUCCUUCAUUCAUUCUUCCUUUCAUUCAUCAAGCAUCUGGACUGACUCUGUCCUAGGCACUGUACUGACUGCAGGAGAUGCAGAGAUGGGGAGGUGGGGGACUAUCCCUGCCCCCCAGUUGCUCUUAGAAUAAGGGGAGGAAGAGGCUGGGCAUGGUGGCUCAUGCCUGUAAUCCCAACACUCUGAGAGGUCGAGGCAGGCUCAUUGCUUGAGCCCAGGAGUUCAACACCAGCCUAGGCAAAAUGGCAAGACCUAGCUCUACAAAAAAUACAAAAAAAUUAGCUGGGCAUGGUGUCAUGCACCUGUGGUCCCAGGUACUCAGGGGGCUGAAGUAGGAGGAUGGCUUGAGCCCGGGAAGUUGAGGCUGCAGUGAGCCAAGACUGCUCCAUGGCACUCCAGCCUAAGCAACUGUGCAAGACGCUGUCUUUUAAAAAAAAAAAAAAAA